AUUUAAGUAGUUUAAUAAAAAUUUUGAAUUGUGGUUUCAAAGAUAUUUCUUAAUCUUAAAUU
rnacentral:tRNA from 1 species